rnacentral:lncRNA from 1 species
UUGAGAUCUCAUCAAGAGUUAAUGUAGGUAUGUUUUUACUGUGAGUUGCAGAACCUUAAAUAUUUGAAUCUAUAUUCUAAUGACUAGUCCGUAAAAGAUUUUUCUUACUGUGAGCUUUUGGAGUUAUGAAUCAUAUUAUAAAGGUGGCAUAUUACGUUGAUAUUAAUUUUUUUCUCUGUUGGUUUGCUUUUCCUUAUUCAUUUUCAUGAUACCAUAAGCAGCAGUUUGCUAAGUGACCCAAAUAUUAAAGAUAAAUAUGAAUAGAUUUCACCACUAGGCAUGUUACACAAUUUUGAAUUUUUUGAAUAAGAUUUUAACAUAUAAUCAAGUGACAAUCUGUUUAUAGAUAUUCAAGUUAAAAUUUUCUUUAUGCUUUUGCCCAUUAUGUGUGAGGAAAAAAUGAUGGAUUCAAGUCCUAUCAGAUCAAAAGAGUAAGACAUCAAUAUAAUAUUGGGUUUAAGUCCAAUUUAUGUCUAAGACCUUUUUUUAUGGAUAAGACGUUGAGUUUCAAUCUCAAUGCACUAUAUUGAUGAUGUUAUGAUGGUUAAGGCAAAAUAAUGGGUAUUUGGUGAACAUGUCCCAUUAAAUAUGCUUCAUUCCUUGAAUUGAAUGUGGUAGCAAUAAAUCAUAUGUAUGCUUUAAUUUGCUUUUGUAGUAGCUAUCAUAAUUUGAUAAGCUUAAGGCAUGAUUAUAUUCCAUUCAUGAGGAAUGAGAAGCUUAUUAAUGCAAACGUGCACUUGAUUGUGAUAGUAUCACAACUCACCUCCGAAAGAGGCUGAAUAACUGAGAAAGUUAUUUUGAAAUCUACUUCUGAAGUAGUUAAUUUGAAAUUUAUUUAUGUAAUAGUAAAUCUAAAAUUUACUAAAGAAAAAAGGUACAUGUCGUGGUAAACUUGGAGUUUACUAGUAUAAAAGUUCAUAAAUAGAUAUGAACGAUCGCAAUAUCCCAAAGAUGUGCUUACUGAGUACGCAACAUAUAUUCUUCAUUACAUUUAGUAUUGCUUGUUCUCACAAUAAGUUGGUUGGACCAACUAAUAUUGGGAUUGGAUCCCUUAAAAUCCGAAAAGUAUAAAAGGUGAAUAUGGGCCCAUUCACCAGUCAUGUGAUCUAUUAAGAUGUAUCAAUAUAAGAUAAUCACAUAUGCGUUUAUUGUCAACCUGUAGUUUGAUAUUCAUAAAGUUGGCUCAAUAAAUUGAGUUAAGAGCUUAACUUUCAGAUUGUGCAAUCAAGACAAUUCAUCUUGAUGAUCAUGGUUUAGCAUCGAAUGCCUUUAAUAAAUAGUUAAAACAUUGAGAACAAAAGCUUCAUAUGUUGGUUUGAAAUAUUACAUACAAAAGUACUUGUAUGCAUUAAACCAAUAAAUUAUGAUUAAUUUUCCCUCAAAGUUGGUUCUAAGUCAGGAAUCACACGUUGUCCAUCUAAUAGUUAUCGUGUGGUAUACGAUUAAUGAAUAUACCAUGAUGCACAAAGAUAGAUUCCUCAAAGAACAAGGAGGAUGUAUGUUAGUUUUCCUAACAUAAGGGGGAGAUUAUAAGCAACUAAGAAAUAUAUUAGAAAUUAUCAUCAGAUCCUCAUUCAAAGGAUAAUUCAAGUCAAAUGUCGAAAGCAUCUCAUAUUUAAGCUACAAGUGCUCCUAUUUUGUGUCCCUAAAGAACAAAAUCUAUGCAUGCGUGAAGCUGGUAGAUCAAUCCGUUCUAAAGAAAAAAAUCCUUGAAAAGGAUAAAGAGCAAAUAAUCAUAAUAAGAAGGCAAUGUGCUCUUGAAUAUCCUACGACAUAACACUUCAUGAAACCUUAUGGGAGGUUCAAGUAUCUGAAAAUAUAGAAGUGAUGAAAUCUCAAAAUAUUAUGUCGCAUUGUGAACCGAGACAAAAUGAGAAAUCGUCGAUGAUAUCUUUGAUACAAUAUUGGCCCAAUAUUAUAAAAGAUUACGAGGAUCUAAAUUCUAUGUUAAUUUGAGCAUGCUGACGUAGAAAUAUUUAUCAAGUGACAUGAAAGGAUGCAUCUUGAUAAGCGUAAAACUUAUUUGAUUUGCAGUCCAGGCACUUGAAAAUGUCACAUAUAAAAUAUUGAAUUUUGUCACUUGACAAAAUUUAUAUGAAAAUUUCUUUAAGGAUUCAAAAUAUAAAAGUUUCUGGGAAACUUAUUGAUAAUCCUUAUAUUGUAUAAGCUUAUAGCUUGAAAAUUAUUGAAACUCUUGGAGAGUUUUUAAAGCAGUAGAUUAUUUGCUGAAAUGAGAAAUAUACCGAAUUAGAUUGGUUAUGAAGUACCAUAUCUUAGUGCAAGUGGUGCACUAAUGUAUCUUGCAAAUACUACAAGGCCUGAGAUAGCCCUUUUCUAGUUAAUUUGUUAGCAAGUUUGCAGUCCCGAUCUUAUUGGUCAUGUUGAUGUUGGGUACUUAUCUGACCUACAUAAAGCUCGGUCUCAAAUAGGCUAUGUGGUCAUAUAUGGUGGUACUGCAAUAUCUUGGAGAUAUACAAAGCAGUCUAUCGUAGCCACUUCAUAGAAUCAUGCUGAGAUAAUAGCUAUUCAUGAAGCGAACCAAGAAUGUGUGUGGUUGAGGUCCAUGAUAUAUCUCAUUCGAGAAAAAUGUAGUUUGAAAUAUGACAAUGUACCCACAAUUUUAUACAGAGAUAAUACAACAUGCAUAGCACUCCAUCAAAGCUUUUCUACAUACAUGAGCUACAAAAGAAUGAUGAUAUUAACGUGCAACAGAUUCGUUCAAGUGACAAUGUGGCUGAUUUAUUCACCAUGUCUUCUCCAAUUACAACUUUCAAGAAGAUGGUGCACAAGAUCGGGAUGCAAGGGUCAAGGAUGUUCUCAUUAGGGGGAGCAAAUGCGUGUUGUACUCUUUUUCCCUUUCAAGGUUUUGUCCCACUGCAUUUUACUUGUAAGGUUUUUAAUGAGGCA